GAUGAACGCUGGCGGCGUGCUUAACACAUGCAAGUCGAACGAUGAAGCCCAGCUUGUUGUGUUGUUUCGUGGCGAACGGGUGAGUAACACGUGAGUAACCUGCCCUUGACUCUAGGAUAAGCCCGGGAAACUGGGUCUAAUACUUGAUAGGAACGUCUACCGCAUGGUUGGUGUUGGAAAGAAUUCCGGUCAUGGAUGGACUCGCGGCCUAUCAGCUUGUUGGUGAGGUAAUGGCUCACCAAGGCGCCGACGGGUAGCCGGCCUGAGAGGGUGCACGGCCACACUGGGACUGAGAGAGGGACCAGACUCGUACGGGAGGCAGCAGUGGGGAAUAUUGCACAAUGGGCGAGAGCCUGAUGCAGCGACGCCGCGUGAGGGAUGACGGCCUUCGGGUUGUAAACCUCUUUCAGUAGGGAAGAAGCGAAAGUGACGGUACCUGCAGAAGAAGCACCGGCUAACUACGUG
rnacentral:rRNA from 1 species